UCCUAAUUAAAGGAGCACGCUGUUAAUCAGUUAUUAUAGGCAUCACCCCCUUCCCUGAUCUUUAAGCUGUUGGCAGACCGAGAUUGAAGACUGUUGAUUCUUGCCACCUCCCAUACAAAGCAGUUCUGCCAGCCUCUCUUGGGCUCCACCCUUCAAGGAACAGCUCAGCUUCAAGCAAAUGUGUGCCGCAUGUCGAGAUCUCCGCUGUGCCUUUGGACCUAGGGUUGAAGGAGAGGAGCUGAUGGCGGCUUUGAGCAUAGGAUGAUCGUAACGGGAAAUGUGCUGGGGUACACUAGAGUGGAGAAAGGCGACAGCAGACAUUUUUAUUUCGGUGCGCUCGUCCUCCUUAUUAAUUCACCUCCCUGUGCCCACGGAGACUCACGUAAUUCUUCCUUAAAAUGUUUAAUCGCAUGUGUAAAUCAAUACCCCUGACCUCAUUGUGAUAAAAUACAUUUUAUUUCUGAACUUGAA